AGGCUGUGAGAUCAUGACCUGAGCCAAAGUCGGAAGCUUAACCCACUGAGCCACACCCAGGCACCCCUCAUCCAUCCCAUUUCUAGCAAACCCCUGCACUGUGGUUUGGAAAAAUGGCCCAUCUCUCUUGUAGAAAAAAACAAAGGCAUAUAUUUGGGCAUCCUGAGUUAUGAGCGAAGACUAAAGUCAGUGGCUGAGGCGGCAGAAGGGCAGCUGGAUGUGGAGGGAGGAGUGGGACGGGAUGAGUAGUUUGGGAUAGUUUAGUUCUUAAUGUGACCUCUCCAUUCGCCACAGCUCACAGCUUCUCCUGAUCAGGGUCACACCUGUUCUCCCUCUGUUCUGAAGGAUAUUAGCUUCGGGGCCCUGGCUGACCUUCGGAGAGGGUUGAGGAUGUUUUCUCCUGCCAGGUUGACAGCCGCAUCGCAGCGGGGCAGCCCCGACAUAGCGAGCUCAUCCUGUUGGAGAAAACAAUGCUGCGAGGUGCGGGUGGUGGCUCGCCUCUGCGUCGCCAAACCAGACCUUCUUCCGCAGCUUCCAAAGAACGGACAUACCCAGGUACAGCAGCCUGACUGGCCUCAGAUGCCAUUCAGGCCUUUUUCACCUCGAAUUUUCCCCACUGCUGUUGUGCAUGGGGCCUCCAUGCUCCUCUGCCACUGGGCAGGGCAGGCUCUCCAGCUCCCGGUCUGAACCUUCUCCACCGCUGUGAGCAGUGCCACAGAAUCGCCACAUGAGAAGAGAGAUCCUGUGAUCCUGUUUGAGAGUCAGCUAUAUUCAGACUAAACUUUGUUUUGGGGGCUGAUCCUGCAGCUUCCAGAGGGAAGGACCACCAGACUCACCAGCUUCAGCUCUGGAGCAGAGGAGAAGGAGCAGCAGGGCAAGAGAAAGACAAUGCAUCUUCUCAGAGAGGCUGCCUGGGGCAGAUGCUGCCUCUAUUUUCCGGCUUGGGUUUUAUAACUCCAGCCAUGAGCGGAGGGCUGGGCUGGUAACCACAGGAACUGUGUGGUCAUGUUUUCUUCUCCCAUCCUAAA